UGGAUCAAUGAUGACUAAGGGUGGCGUAUGAGUCUCAGACUGUGACUCUGUGUCUGUAACUCUGAGGUCCAA